UAACAAGACCUACGAAAUCC
rnacentral:siRNA from 1 species